UACGUAGGGUGCGAGCGUUGUCCGGAAUUACUGGGCGUAAAGAGCUCGUAGGUGGUUUGUCGCGUCUGCUGUGAAAACUCAGGGCUUAACUCUGAGCUUGCAGUGGGUACGGGCAGACUAGAGUGCGGUAGGGGAGACUGGAAUUCCUGGUGUAGCGGUGAAAUGCGCAGAUAUCAGGAGGAACACCGGUGGCGAAGGCGGGUCUCUGGGCCGUAACUGACGCUGAGGAGCGAAAGCAUGGGGAGCGAACAGG
rnacentral:rRNA from 1 species